rnacentral:tRNA from 1 species
GGUGCGAUAUUCAAGCGGUUAAAGAAGAUUGACUGUAAAUCAAUUCCCAUAGCGGGUUCGGUGAGUUCGAAUCUCCCUUGCACCACAA